UGUAUGUUAUGUAUGUUGGGGUUAAUGAGCCAACUCUGGCCUGAAUCCCCUGUCCCAUGCUUUAAGAUUACAGAACCUCACCCAUAUAGAAUAGAAUGUUCAUAUACAAUUGGAAAACUCUAAUCUAAAUCCUUUACCCGUGUAGAAUGAAGCAUUAUACAUGGUUGUAACGUUACAGUAUAACUUAGGUGUUGAUUGCGAGCGUAAAUAUGAGACAUUGUGUACAAAAGGGCAUACGUUAGCUUUCAGUGCAAAAGGUAUGCUCAACUGUAGCACAAACAGUGUAAUACGUAAUGUAGAUACGUUUAAGUAAUACGUUCUGAUGUCGCUUUGUGGUAAUCUUCUAGCUAUACUUCAACCCGUAUAUGGUGCACACCAAUUGCUACAAGGGUUGCUAUUACUUUUACCAAGUUCUGUUGUCUGUUGGUUUACGGAUUAUCAUAACCGGUACUACCCCCUAACCUGAUCCACUUUACCCCUUUAUUAUAGAGCGCCAAUUCUCCUUACCUAUAUUCACGCUUAUUCAGAACUUGCAAUGUCAACAAGCACCUGAGUGUCUUAGUCAUUGUGAAUAUAAGCCAUGCGUGGGCGGGGGGUUACCUUUAUAAACCUGGCUUGGACAUUGGUCCCAAAAGUCGCUGUAGAUUAUGUAGAGUCAUGUUUCCUAUAGCAGUGACCAGCUGAUGUAUACGAAACUGGUGUUUUUCUAAAUUGCAGCUCAAAGUCUAUGCAAAUAAACAACUGAUUAGUUGAAUAUAGUAGGUUGGGGUAAAAUGGUUCGUUUUUAUCGUCUUAUUUGGUAGUUAACAAAGAUUUUUUUCGGAAUUAUAUAACCGUAUUUUCACGAUUCUAAAACAGCAUUGGUAGUUGUUUAAAACCCGAUUAUGAAAUAUAGGAUAUUGUGUGUUAUCUUAACCCAGUAAUAUAUCUGACAUUUCUCUUUUAAUAUUUAACAACCAUUGAUGUUCAAGCUACGAUACAGCUUGUACUGCCUUAUAAUUAUAUUAGCAUGUGGUUAAGUGGUCAUUACAUACACGGUUAUUUACUCGUCGUUUAAUACAGUUCAGGUUUUUGUUGGCGAAGCUCUUUACCGCCAUCUAGGGGAUAAUCUUAAAGUCGUAGGUUUAGUAACCUGUGCUUAUGAUGUACAAAUAGUUGACUAUAUUAUCGGGUUUAUGUCGUAACACAUGUACUUGUGACGUAUUGAACACGCAACAGUAAACAUUUCCCAAUUGCAGGACAUAUUGCUAAUCCACGAGUAAUAUGUUUCAUUAUUAGGAUUACAAAACCUAUUGUUACGAAUAAUUACAACUGCAUUAAUUUUCAUAAUGGUCAUUGUUUCGUAAAAUAACAGUUACCAUUUUGUAAUAAUGUCCACUGUGACGUAGCUUAGGCUCGCAUUUUUUUAAAUCGGAAGUCAAGUCAAGUUCCCGCCAACCAGGAUUAGUCAUCUUAACUUUUAACCCUGCAGUCUUAUCUGUUUAUGAGUCACGAAAACUUAACUAAUUUAUCAAAUGUAAAUAGAUGGCGUAUCGAUGCUUACAAAUAUGUCUAACAUUAAGUGAUGAAGCGGCUGAUUCAGUCAUGUUAAACUCUAUUACAAAUAAAGGCUUUUAGAAACGCUCUUUUUAUUAUCGAAAAUUAGUUUUUUUGGUUAACAUUAAAAAUUAAAUACCAGCGUUUUCAUGAAAACACAGAGCGAAAAUUACAAGUAGAGAUUUAAAGUUGUCCGAAACUAUCUUCAAAAUAUGAUCAAUAUAUUAUUCAAUACAUGUAGCCGGGGUAAGAUGGUCCACCGUAUCCCCACGACUCUAAAAUAGAAUUGUUAAUUGAUAAAAAAAACACGAUUAGGAAAUGUGGAAUAUUAUGUGCUUACGAUAUCCAUCUUAGCCCACAGUACUAUAUGUUAAAUUUACUCACGUUAUUACGUAACCUCGCUAUGCUAUAUGCAUGUUUAGUAAAAUCUUAUGUAGAAAUAUUUCCAAGCUUUUAAGAUUUAAAUUAUUUGUAAAUGCGCCGAUGCCGCCCAGAAGAAGUUCAAGGCUAUAGAUUUUCUUCAAAUGCAAACGUAUUAGCCUUCCACGCAGAGAUUAGAUUCCGGACUCUUCAAACAUUGUCGACUUAACAUUCGGCUUUAAAUGCUUUCUUCAGCUAAAGUUCCUCCCCGCGCGCCCAUGCGUUUAAUCGCUUAUGACGUCACAGCCCACCCGUGAAGAACCGCGAUAGAAGAAAUUCAUCGCGAACGCUCGAGUUACUAAAGUUUCCAGCGCUAAAUUCUGACCCAAAACGCCCUAACACCCAAACCUUAGUAUAUGCAAGUCAUAGGCAGUGGUAAACGACCGCAGUAUACAGGUAUACAUGGAUAAUAUGACUGACUGCAUAAGCUGAGGCUAUCCGUUAUCAUUAUCAUGGGUAACAAUAGCUUAUCUUUAAUCCUAAGCCCCCCCCCACCCUCCCCACGCGUAAAUGCAUGUCUGCUAUUUGGCGUGUGAGGGUCAAUAGUGCAACACAGUUUAUGCAUAGGAUCACAUACGGAACCAUAGGCGCCCUUAACUUAGUUAUAGAGAAAUAGUUACAUUAUAUACGCUUAUUUAUUUCUAAUUCGAAGGGACAUUACAAGUACAUCGCAUUUCUUGUGUUAAUAUAGUUGGCUGAGGUAACAUGGUUCAUAUUUAAUGAAAUUUGGAAAUAGUUUAUAUUCUAUGAGCUUACUAAAACCUUCGGGCUAAGUCGCAUGAUACUGUGGGGUAAGAUGGAUACUGUUUGUACCACCAAAUGGGGCGAAAAAGGAGAAUGAAAACAUGGACCAUUUUAUGUGAACCUUAUUGCAACAAUCACAUUGCCGUUAAGGAUUCAUAUUAAAAAUUAUUCCCCUUAUCUCCUACCUUAAUAACUAUAUAUAGUAGGUUUGACCCUUUACCUAAAGCUAGAUAUUUCAUUACACGUUCCGAAAAUAAUUUUAACCUUCGCAUACUUGCGGUGACAUGGGGCUUAACAAGGGCGUGUGUUGAACACUGCUUAUCCUUGUUGCUAGGGGUAACAGGGAAUUCCCUUAUGCGUGUUUGUCUCAUGCU